AUUGCUUCUCUGCAUUUUGGCUAAGAUCAAGUGUAGUAUCUGUUCUUAUCCAGGCCCGGAUUUGUGGAAAGGCCAUCUAGGCCCGGGCCUAGGGUGGCAGGAUUUUAGGGGGGUGGCAUGCUGCCCAACCACACCCACA
rnacentral:snRNA from 1 species